GAACGCACAUUGCGCCCGCCAGUAUUCUGGCGGGCAUGCCUGUUCGAGCGUCAUUUCAACCCUCAAGCCCAGCUUGGUGUUGGGAUCUGUGUGCAAACACAGUCCCCAAAUUGAUUGGCGGUCACGUCGAGCUUCCAUAGCGUAGUAAUUUACACAUCGUUACUGGUAAUCGUCGCGGCCACGCCGUUAAACCCCAACUUCUGAAUGUUGACCUCGGAUCAGGUAGGAAUACCCGCUGAACUUAAG
rnacentral:misc_RNA from 1 species